UGGGGAAUUUUGGACAAUGGGCGAAAGCCUGAUCCAGCAAUGCCGCGUGUGUGAAGAAGGCCUUCGGGUUGUAAAGCACUUUUGUCCGGAAAGAAAUCCUUGGCUCUAAUACAGUCGGGGGAUGACGGUACCGGAAGAAUAAGCACCGGCUAACUACGUGCCAGCAGCCGCGGUAAUACGUAGGGUGCAAGCGUUAAUCGGAAUUACUGGGCGUAAAGCGUGCGCAGGCGGUUUGCCAAGACCGAUGUGAAAUCCCCGGGCUCAACCUGGGAACUGCAUUGGUGACUGGCAGGCUAGAGUAUGGCAGAGGGGGGUAGAAUUCCACGUGUAGCAGUGAAAUGCGUAGAGAUGUGGAGGAAUACCGAUGGCGAAGGCAGCCCCCUGGGCCAAUACUGACGCUCAUGCACGAAAGCGUGGGGAGCAAACAGGAUUAGAUACCCUGGUAGUCCACGCCCUAAACGAUGUCAACUAGUUGUUGGGGAUUCAUUUCCUUAGUAACGUAGCUAACGCGUGAAGUUGACCGCCUGGGGAGUACGGUCGCAAGAUUAAAACUCAAAUGAAUUGACGGGGUCAUAGCUGUUUCCU
rnacentral:rRNA from 1 species